AUGCCAUGGUUGCCUAAAGCAUCGCGCCCGCGCCGCUGGAGCUCCACCGCGCCGGAGCCGCCUCCCACCGCCGGGAAUGGAUCAGCCCCGCUCGGAUAUGUUCGGAUCCGGCCAACCUCGCUGCCUCCCGCCGUCCACCUUCCCCGCCUCUCGCGUCGGCGCCGCCAUGGCCUCCCUGUUCAUGCAGGCACACGAGGAGGACGACCAGCUCCGCGUUCGUUCCGGUGGGCCCUGCGUUGGUCGGCCCAUCUGCAGCUUGUUGCGGCCCAGCUCCACCCGUGCUUUGGUCCAGCCGGCCUGAAGGCCCAAAGUGCCGAUGAUACCAGUGCAGGUGACGCAACUGAGCUCAAGUGGGAGCUCGAUGAAGAUAUUGAUCGUUGUUUUGUUUUGUUUCCUGUUGAUCAGUAG
rnacentral:rRNA from 1 species